rnacentral:rRNA from 1 species
GGGAGUAACAGUCAGAAAUGACUGCUAAUACCGCAUAAGCGCACAGUGCUGCAUGGCACAGUGUGAAAAACUCCGGUGGUAUGAGAUGGACCCGCGUCUGAUUAGCUAGUUGGUGGGGUAACGGCCUACCAAGGCGACGAUCAGUAGCCGGCCUGAGAGGAUGAACGGCCACAUUGGGACUGAGACACGGCCCAAACUCCUACGGGAGGCAGCAUG